GGAAAGGGAAAAGAAGCAUCACUAUUCCAAAAAGAAUCUUCUGGAUGAAUCAUCAUAUACCAAAAGUAAUUGAAGAGGGAUACAAAGAUAUACAUAGAAAGUGCCCUGCAGCACUCUUUCUAAGACGGAGCCAACCACAGGUUAAUCGGAGGAGAUGAUUUAAGCACACUAUGCUUCACCCGUGUAAACCAGCACUCUACUGGAAUUAUAAGUGAUGGUGUAAAAGUCUAUGGACAUGGCACAAGGUCGGCAUUUCCUCAGCCAUCUGAAAAAAACAGCAAUCUUUUUUAAAGUAGGAAGGAGAGGAGGAGGAGCAGCCAUCAGGGAGCACCGGAAGCCGGCGCCCAGGAAGCUCUGGUCACACAAGGUGCCGGCACCUGUCCCGCAGAGGCUUCUGUGUGGCCACCGAAUCCCGCUGACUGCUACACUUUAGUGACACACGUUACUGAAGAAGAGAAAGGGAACCAGCUGCAGCAAAAUUCAUCAUUUGUCUAUAUUAUCUUUACGGCUGGGGCCCGCCCGAAGGUGCUUCUGAGAGCAAAUAUUAUCCUUUCUACACUUAAAAUGCAUCUAGAAAAUGCAGCAACUGUGCCUUCUUCCACCUUGGCUCUGUCAGUGCCUCCAUUUUCUCAUUUUCUAAAUAAAAUGUACAACUAUUA